rnacentral:miRNA from 1 species
UGGACCACUGAGCCGGCUCCUU